UUUUGAACAUUAAAUUUAAGGCCCGUCCGCGUUACCUUAUUAAAACUUUACCAUGCCGUCGAUAUCAGCAUAUCAAGCAUCUAUCGAAGAAAAAACGCAGCCGUUAAAUGCGCUUUAGCUUCAAAAAUAAAUAUGCCUCGAUUUAAGAAUAGAUAUUUAGUGGCAAGGUUAUCCAGUACGAAAUUUGCAGAAUCUUGUGACGCUAAGGAAUUCCUUAAGGUAUUGCGAGAAGCUUUUCUGGUUUUACACGGUGAAGUAAAGUUAGUUAAGCUGGGGUCGUCGCUUCAAGUUAACCUUCAUAGCUAAGUUUAUAGAUUCAAAUGCUGCAAAAAUCUGCUUACUUCGAUGUGCACGGAAUUUUCAUAAAGAAACCAGAAGUGCCUUAACUUUACUUAAUCGACUUACCAAGUGUGAUUGUGUUGUUUCUGUUAUUGGUGUUUCAGGCUCUUUUGAAAAAGCAAAAACUCUUGCUUUGAAAGAAAUUAACUUUCAAUUACCAAAAGAACCGAAAAAU